rnacentral:lncRNA from 1 species
AAGAACAAGGGAAUCCAUCGGAUCCGCCUCCACUUCUACCCCUUCUCCACCCCGGAGUACGACCUCUCCUCCGCUCGCUUCCACGUUUUGGCCUCGGAUAUUACCCUACUGUCCUAUUUCGGCACCUCGAGCCCUGUGAUGAAGGAGUACUUCAUCAACCUGAAUGAAGGGAAGCUCGUAAUAUCGUUUUCUCCGGCGGACAGGUCCUCCUUUGCCUUUGUAAACGCCAUCGAAGUCAUGUCAGCUCCGAAAGAUCUCAUUUUGGACGCUGGAAGGUUAGUAAAACCCGAUGAAAUUACGGAAUUUCAUGGGCUUUCGAAACAGGCUUUGGAAACACUCUAUAGGGUUA